UGCCAGCCGCCGCGGUAAUACGGAGGGUGCGAGCGUUAAUCGGAAUUACUGGGCGUAAAGCGUGCGUAGGCGGUUAUUUAAGUCAGAUGUGAAAGCCCCGGGCUCAACCUGGGAACUGCAUUUGAAACUGGAUAACUAGAGUUUGGUAGAGGUGAGUAGAAUUCCUAGUGUAGCGGUGAAAUGCGUAGAUAUUAGGAGGAAUACCAGUGGCGAAGGCGGCUCACUGGACCAAAACUGACGCUGAGGUACGAAAGCGUGGGGAGCGAACGGGAUUAGAUA
rnacentral:rRNA from 1 species